AAAUUGAAGAGUUUGAUCAUGGCUCAGAUUGAACGCUGGCGGCAGGCCUAACACAUGCAAGUCGAACGGUAGCACAGAGAGCUUGCUCUCGGGUGACGAGUGGCGGACGGGUGAGUAAUGUCUGGGAAACUGCCUGAUGGAGGGGGAUAACUACUGGAAACGGUGGCUAAUACCGCAUAACGUCGCAAGACCAAAGAGGGGGACCUUCGGGCCUCUUGCCAUCAGAUGUGCCCAGAUGGGAUUAGCUUGUUGGUGAGGUAACGGCUCACCAAGGCGACGAUCCCUAGCUGGUCUGAGAGGAUGACCAGCCACACUGGAACUGAGACACGGUCCAGACUCCUACGGGAGGCAGCAGUGGGGAAUAUUGCACAAUGGGCGCAAGCCUGAUGCAGCCAUGCCGCGUGUAUGAAGAAGGCCUUCGGGUUGUAAAGUACUUUCAGCGGGGAGGAAGGUGUUGUGGUUAAUAACCGCAGCAAUUGACGUUACCCGCAGAAGAAGCACCGGCUAACUCCGUGCCAGCAGCCGCGGUAAUACGGAGGGUGCAAGCGUUAAUCGGAAUUACUGGGCGUAAAGCGCACGCAGGCGGUCUGUCAAGUCGGAUGUGAAAUCCCCGGGCUCAACCUGGGAACUGCAUUCGAAACUGGCAGGCUUGAGUCUUGUAGAGGGGGGUAGAAUUCCAGGUGUAGCGGUGAAAUGCGUAGAGAUCUGGAGGAAUACCGGUGGCGAAGGCGGCCCCCUGGACAAAGACUGACGCUCAGGUGCGAAAGCGUGGGGAGCAAACAGGAUUAGAUACCCUGGUAGUCCACGCCGUAAACGAUGUCUACUUGGAGGUUGUGCCCUUGAGGCGUGGCUUCCGGAGCUAACGCGUUAAGUAGACCGCCUGGGGAGUACGGCCGCAAGGUUAAAACUCAAAUGAAUUGACGGGGGCCCGCACAAGCGGUGGAGCAUGUGGUUUAAUUCGAUGCAACGCGAAGAACCUUACCUGGUCUUGACAUCCACAGAAGAAUCCAGAGAUGGAUUUGUGCCUUCGGGAACUGUGAGACAGGUGCUGCAUGGCUGUCGUCAGCUCGUGUUGUGAAAUGUUGGGUUAAGUCCCGCAACGAGCGCAACCCUUAUCCUUUGUUGCCAGCGGUCCGGCCGGGAACUCAAAGGAGACUGCCAGUGAUAAACUGGAGGAAGGUGGGGAUGACGUCAAGUCAUCAUGGCCCUUACGACCAGGGCUACACACGUGCUACAAUGGCGCAUACAAAGAGAAGCGACCUCGCGAGAGCAAGCGGACCUCAUAAAGUGCGUCGUAGUCCGGAUUGGAGUCUGCAACUCGACUCCAUGAAGUCGGAAUCGCUAGUAAUCGUGGAUCAGAAUGCCACGGUGAAUACGUUCCCGGGCCUUGUACACACCGCCCGUCACACCAUGGGAGUGGGUUGCAAAAGAAGUAGGUAGCUUAACCUUCGGGAGGGCGCUUACCACUUUGUGAUUCAUGACUGGGGUGAAGUCGUAACAAGGUAACCGUAGGGGAACCUGC
rnacentral:rRNA from 3 species